CCUGUCCCUGGAGGCAUUGCACAUGUGGCUGCUAUGUCACAUGUGGAUGGAUCAAAAGGUGACAGAGAGGAGAGAGGCUAUGUCUAUGCUCAGUGUUCUCACCUAUGAAUAUCUGAAUGACUACAGUAGCCUAACAUU